AUGAAUGCUGCUGGUUGAAAGCAUGUCUGUACCAUAGUUUUUACCUUUCUUUUGUUCUUGUUUGAACUUCAUUCAAUUUGGCCAAUUUAGCCUGAGAGAAAGUGGCUUUCAGUGAAAAGAAUGUUGGUGAAGAGAGAGCAGACAGCUGUGGCAAGAGAGAGUGAGGCUUUUGCUUGCAUAGUAAGGCAGAGCAGAGGCUGUCCCCAGAGAUCCCACACACAUCACAGGGACGGCAUCUGCAUGACUGGCUGAGUUGCUGUUUCUUUUGUUUUGAUUUCCCCCAGUCCCCCACCCUGCCCCAUCUCCAACAAAGCCAUAUUUAGUUAGUACUCUUAAGAAAAUCACAGCCUCAUUAGUUUACAAAGACAAUUAGGAACAAACAGACCAGUACUUGCUAACUUCUCAUCUUUAAAUAGACCAGACCCAGAGAGAUGAAUUGUUUGGAAAUGCUGAUAGAGGCAACAAUAAUAACAGCAGCUACCAUUUACCGAGAAUAUAUUAUAUGCCAGGCUCUGGUCUAAGCAUUACGUUCUUUAUUCUUCAAAGCAACCUCAUGAGGUGGGAGCUAUCACAACCCUGUUUUAAAACUGUAACAACAGGCUCAGAGAUUGUCAGUAACUCAUGAGAGCCACAAAGUUGAUAAGGAUUCAAGUCAGGACUUGAAUUGGCUAGGUUCUGAGAAGAGUAACCUGUGACUCUCUUAGGACAUUGUUUAUCAAAGAUGGGGGAACUGAGGCCCUACGAAGUUAAAUGAUCUGCCAAGUUAUCCCUGAAAAACAUUAAGGCCCUCAAGUUUCCUAGGUUUAGGACUGAACAACUCCGGGAAUCUGAAAGAUGAUGCAAAUAAAGAGGAAGACGGACAUAAUCUCGAAGGGAGAGAAAGGAGCUGGGAAUGGGGGAUCAUAUUCUAAUAGCUCAUCAUCACCACAUGAAACAUACAAUGCAGAGGAACUCUUCAAGGGGUGAAGGGAAAGUAUAAAACAAGACAGAAGAUUUCCUUUCUUCCAUGAGGAUAUAAUUCUAGUGGGAGAACCAAUAAGCAAACCAGCAGAAGAAUCUUAGACUGGGAGACGUGCUAAGCUGAGAACUGGGGCAGCCGGUGCCUGGGGAGCUACACUGGAACUGUGAUUGUGAAACCAAUUCAAAGAGGUAGCAUUUACAGUGAGACCUGAAUGACAAGAAGGAGCCAGAUGUGCAGUGAUUCUCCAGGAAGGAGUUCCAGGUAUCGAGAACAGCUGGCAUAAAUGUUUGAAGGUGGGUAUAGCAGCACUAUUCACAAUAGCCAGAAGGUGGAAACAACCCUAACGUCCAUCAGCAGUUGAAUGGAUAAACAAAAUGUGGUAUAUCCAUGCUAUGGAAUAUUAUUCAGCCUUAAAAACAAAUGAAGGACUGAUACAUGAUAAUGUCAGGCCUCCGAGCCCAAGCCAAGCCAUCUCAUCCCCUGUGACUUGCACGUAUACAUCCAGAUGGCCUGAAGUAACUGAAGAUCCACAAAAGAAGUAAAAAUAGCCUGAACUGAUGACAUUCCACCAUUGUGAUUUGUUCCUGCCCCACCCUAACUGAUCAAUGUAGUUUGUAAUCUUCCCACCCUUAAGAAGGUUCUUUGUAAUUCUCCCCACCCUUGAGAAUGUACUUUGUGAGAUCCACCCCUGCCCACAAAACAUUGCUCUUAACUUCACCGCCCAUCCCAAAACCUGUAAGAACUAAUGAUAAUCCAUCUCCCUUCGCUGACUCUUUUCGGACUCAGCCCACCUGCACCCAGGUGAAAUAAACAGCCAUGCUGCUCACACAAAACCUGUUUGGUGGUCUCUUCACACGGACACACAUGAAACUAUGACUUGGAUGAACCUUGAAAACAUUAGGUUAAGUGAAAGAAGCCAGUCACAAAAGAAGCCAGUCACAUACAUAUUGUGUGAUUCCUUUUAUAUGAACUAUCUGGAAUAGAUUAGUCCAUAGAGACAGA
rnacentral:lncRNA from 1 species